rnacentral:rRNA from 1 species
GAUGAACGCUGGCGGCGUGCCUAAUACAUGCAAGUCGAGCGAACAGACGAGGAGCUUGCUCCUCUGACGUUAGCGGCGGACGGGUGAGUAACACGUGGAUAACCUACCUAUAAUACUGGGAUAACUUCGUGAAACCGGAGCUAAUACCGGAUAAUAUAUUGAACCGCAUGGUUCAAUAGUGAAAGACGGUUUUGCUGUCACUUAUAGAUGGAUCCGCGCCGCAUUAGCUAGUUGGUAAGGUAACGGCUUACCAAGGCGACGAUGCGUAGCCGACCUGAGAGGGUGAUCGGCCACACUGGAACUGAGACACGGUCCAGACUCCUACGGGAGGCAGCAGUAGGGAAUCUUCCGCAAUGGGCGAAAGCCUGACGGAGCAACGCCGCGUGAGUGAUGAAGGUCUUCGGAUCGUAAAACUCUGUUAUUAGGGAAGAACAAAUGUGUAAGUAACUAUGCACGUCUUGACGGUACCUAAUCAGAAAGCCACGGCUAACUACGUG